rnacentral:rRNA from 1 species
GCGGCCUUCUGUCCACCAACGCCACCCCUUUCUCUCUGAUUGCGCGGGUGGCCAGAUCCGAGCUUUGGCUGCUCCAUGCCUCCAUCGCGGCAGCAGCAAUGCCUCGGCCGGGGUGUGGCCGCGGGGACAAGAGCGGCGACGGAGGUGGGCAGGUGCGUGGCCACCGGCACCCGGCAUGCGUGACUAGCGUGAGGUCAGGAAGCAGCGGCGGCAGGCCAGGGCUGGGACGAGCAGUUCAGGGGCGCGGGCCACGGCACCCGGCCUGCCUCCUACGCUGAUCUGCAGCGCGCGGCGCACUGGGGCGCGAGGGCCAUCGCGGCGUCCUCGACAUCCUCGCGGCUGAGUGCUGACGUGGUCCGACGCGUGCCGUGGUGUGGACGGCCGCGCCCCUCGAGGCCCGACGCGACGCGCGACUACGGCGGCUGUCCGGCACGGGCCGGGGUUGCGACGGCCGCCGCGCACGCUCUUCAGCUUCAAGGACAAAACUCCCCAUAUGUCGAGCCCGUCUCCGCGGCCGCUCAUCUACUGAUUCCGCGUCCCCACGUACUGGUGAACGCUCCCUAUUUUCCACUUUGCAAUGUCGUAACAUGUCCUGUGUUGGAUGAUUCGAUCGACGCUUGCAUGCUUCGCGUAGUUACUGGUAUCUGAUGCAAGACAUCCCGUCACUGCUACAGUAUUUGAAGUACAGCAAGGUCAAGUAUAAUGGGCUAAUGGCAUCAUAUACCAUUCCAUUAAUUGAGUAAAUUAUUGAAUUAAGUGAGAAUAAUAAAAUUGAGAUGGCAGCUGCUCUCUUGCUUGAUAAAUUGUUUCUCUUCAGGAAUUUGCAAACAAUCUUUUCAAUAGAAUGGGCGGCUAAAUUUUCUUUCUUUGUUCGAGAUCUGGAGACUUAUGUUGGAUAUUUUGCUUAUUAAUAAUAUUGGCCGUAUGCAUCAUUCAGAUGCAGAGGCUGGGGCAUGCCCCCCUUUUCGAAAAAAAAUGAAAAGAAUGGCGGCUAAAUAGAAUGACGGCAUAGACUGAAAUUAUUGAGUGAAAGCUGUCAAAUGUGUAUUCUCUUUCAUUUUAUUUAUGAAAUCUGUCAUACUAUCUGCAUCUAAUCUGUCAUACUACCUUCAUAGACUGAAUUACAUUACUUUGUCAGAUGAGAGCUGAUGGGGUGGCUCCUAUUUCAUACCAGGAAAGUAGCAGCACCCUUCAGAUCAGCUAACUAUCUCCUCAAGACCAUGUCAUGACUUAGGGAUUUGUGCUGCAAUAAUUAUUACCUUGUGCAAGGAGGAAGUUGACAUCGAUUCAGUUACCGCAUCCCAUAGACGGUUUCCAGAACAAUACAAGCAUCUAAGAAACACUGCUGCUAUUUAGUAGUAGAAUAUUUUGAAUCAUUAGGCAAUGAGGGAAUCUGAGCUCCCAACCCAUGGUCGUGUUGCCAAGAACAAAUGCUCCUUGUUGAGUUGCAGUGGAAGCCAUCUAGAAAAGAAUGCUCUUACUAAUGGAGGUCAAUUUUGAGUGCUUCACUUCUAGGUCUUGGAUUGUUUUUGAUAGCAUAUGUUGUAUCAAAUUUUUUUGUAGCUAUAUAUGAUCCCUCACAGAUUAGUAUUUCACAUUCAUUUUCAAAGUUACUUUCACAUCGGUGCAUCCUAAUGAGCAGGGAGAUGUAUUUUCAUCAUUUUUUCCUCAUCAUCAUAUAUUCAUAAGAAAGGGACCACCUACCUAACAAUAGCAAGUGAGGAUCGGUGAUGGCGGCUUGACUCAGUUAGAUAUUGCUUUAUUCAUUUUAUGGUUUGUUCUCUAUAUGAAUUAGUAUUUUUCAUGGGUUUGCAGCAAUGCUUAUCCUCUUAACAUGGUGGACAUUAAUUUUUUUAUAACACAGGUAAUUUUUUAUCCACUGAACAUAUGGAAUUAACUAAAAGUUCAGAUGAAACUUGUACUCUACAGGUGAAAGAGUGACAACAUUUGUACAUUUCUGGAACUGAAAGGAUACAUACGACCUGUUGUUUUCCGGUAGGCUGCUGACACAGAUAUUUCAGCCUUAGUUGAAAUUGAGAAAAAUAGCAGACAUCGCUUUGAGUUCUUCAUGGAUCUUGUUGGGGAUCAGCCUAUCUGUGCUUGCACUGCCUGGGCAUGUAUGAUGAAAUCAGGUGGCCGCAUUUCACAUGCUUUGUCUGUGUAUAGUUGUCAACUUCGCCAUCCCAACCAGGUUCCUUUCUGUUCUGUAUUGAUUUCUAUAAGUUGCAAUAUGACAACAGAAAUAUUUGAGUUUCUUAAAGAUGGAUUUCAUGAAGUCAGCAAUACCCUCGAUUUAUCCUUUGAUGAUGACUCUGUUGCUGUCGAACAAAUUCCCUUCCUAGCAACCUAGCUAGUUUUUUUGAAAGAGAAUAAGUCCAAUUCCUGUGAGCCACCAGCUAGAUGUCUAAACGAUUUAUGAAGAGCUACCACCACAUUCCUCUAACUCCUGAUAAUGUUGUUGUGUUCCCUUCUCGUGCUGUGGCAAUAGAAAAUGCUCUUCAAUUGUUCUCACCGGCGCUCGCAAUUGUUGAUGAACAUUUGACCAGACACUUGCCCAAGCAAUGGUUAACAUCUUUAGCAAUUGAGGCUAGAACAGAGUACAGUUACUGUGACUGAGGCACCACGCCAGUCAGAUUUACUGAUUGAGUUGAUCAGGAAGCUAAAGCCUCAAGUUGUUGUUACUGGGAUGGCUCAAUUUGAGGCUAUCACAAGUGCUGCUUUUGAGAACUUACUAAAUGCAACAAAAGAUGUUGUCUCCCUGGUUAUUCCUGGAUAUUUCAGAGCAUCUAGAGUUGUCUAGUCUGCCAAGCUCUAAUGGUGUAUUUAAAUAUCUUGCUGGAAAGACCCUACCUUCCCAUGCAGCUAUACUGUGUGGUUUAGUAAAGAACCAGGUUUAUUCCGAUCUGAAGUUUCUUUUGCCAUAUCUGAAGAUGCAGCUGUAUAUAAAGCAUUGUCACAAACUAUUGAGCUAUUAGAAGGCCACAUGUCUUUGAUCAGCCAGCACUAUUAUGGUUGCCUUUUCCAUGAGCUUCUGGCAUUUCAAAUUGCUGACCGGCAUCCACAGCAGGAGAGGCACCGGCAGAAGUGAUACCUCAUCAGAUGAUAGGAUUUUCUGAUCCAGCUAUGUCUACUGUAAAGGCAGCUGAAACUUUCAUUCAUGAUUCAAAUGAAUCAGUGUCACUCAUAUGGAUUUAGAUCACAGCUUUCUGCCAGUACCUUCUGCAGUGAAUGCCUGUGCCUUUGAAAGUUUUGUCAGGUGAAACAUCACUGAUUCUGAGACCGAUGUUCAUUCCAGCAUCCAGCAGCUGGUGAAAGAUAGCUAUGGUUUAUCGGUAGAUGGUUGUUCUGAAAUUAUCUAUGUCAAUACCUCUCUUGCACUCUUCAAUAAGCUUGUUCUCUGUUGCAGGCAAGAACAGGGCACCUUUCUUUUCCCCUUGGGCACCAAUGGCCAUUACAUCUCUGCAGCAAAGUUUGUGAAUGCAAGCACCUUGACUAUACCUACAACUUUCAGUUCAGGAUUCAAGAUUGAGCCAAAGGUUCUAGCUUUUUUGCGAAACAGCGAAAGGUUCUAGCUGACACUCUUAAGAAUGUAUCUCGGCCAUGGGUGUACAUUUGUGGCCCCACGAUCAACCCUACUGGUUUUCUGUACAGUGACAGUAAUAUUCAAGAGCUGCUCUCCGUCUGCGCUGAAUAUGGAGCUACUAGGGUAGCGAUAGAUACCUCCUUCUAGGCCUGGAGUGGUAAUGGAUGGCUGGAGUCGGUGGAAUCUGGAAGGAUGCCUUUCUUCUUUAAAAUGUUCAAAGCCCUCAUUAUCUGUAGUCCUGCUAGGAGAACUGUCUUUUGAGCUGAUUGCAGCAGGACAUGACUUUGAGUUUGUAAUUUUGAAUGACCCAUCCUUGGUUGAUGCGUUUCAUAGUUUCCCGAGCUUGAGUCGGCUGCACAGCACAUUUUCAAAAAGCUACUUGGCCUGAAGAACUAGAAGGAUCAGCAUUUCUCUGAUCUAAUGGCGGAGCAGCAACGUUGCAGAGUUGUGGCUGGGACGUUGCCAGCGGUUGUGCUGGCAUAUCGAUGCUGGCGAAACCGACUGCCUACAUUGGGAAGCGCUUCAAAGCUGAUGGCUUUGAGGGCAAGCUGGAUGCGAGCAACAUCAGGGAAACCAUCCUCAGAGCCACGGGGCUGUGCAUAAACAGCAGCUCCUGGACUGGGAUACCCGACUACUGCCGGUUCAGCUUUGCGCUGGAGAGCGGCAAAUUUGAGCGCGCAAUGGGAUGCAUAACUCGGUUCAAGGAGUUGGUUCUGGGAGGCAAUGUUCAGGCUUAGAUGAAUGGAAACUGAUGGCAGACUGGUGAUUGAUCGAUCGCCUCCAUCCCAUUCCCGUUCUGGGAGGCAAUCAAUUCAUUGUUUGAAAAUCAAACCUUAGUGCUAUGAAGUAGUAAUAUUGCCCAAAUAUGUAUGUAAAGGAAUAUGGCUACAUGUUGUACCUGAAGUCUGUCCCGUCCAGCUUACACAUUCUCUUCUCUGUCAAGUUAAACUCAGAUUAUCCAACUUUCUUAACCUACGC